AUGGUAUGCUGUAUCAUGAAAGUGCCUACAUCAAGCAGCACCAUGGGCAACUGUCUCCAAACCCAGUCUCCUGCUGGCCUCACCCAUAGAGGAUUUGCAGGUCUAAGAGGCAGCCAGUCACUGACAACAUCAUCUCAUCAUUUUUCAAACUCAUGGUUCAUCAAAUUCCAAGCUCAUAGAUUCUACUUGGCUUAUAGGGAAUAGGAUGCUCUAAAGGGAAAUGAGACUACUUGGAAGAACUGUGGAGAUGAAAAAAAAAAUAAACUACAUAAAAACACACAUUGGGGACACCUGGUUGACUCAGGUGGCAAAGCAUCUACCUUGGUAAAAAAAAAAAAAAAUCUGCUUUGGGCUCAGGUCAUGAUCCCAGGAUCCUGGGACAGAGAUCUAUGUUGGGCUCCCUGCUCAGUGGGGAAUCUGCUUCUCCCUCUCCCUUUGCCCCUCUGCCUGCUUGUGCUCUCUCUUUCAAAUAAAUAAAUAAAUAAAUAAAUAAAUAAAUAAAUAAAUAAAUACACAUUGAUCUCUGAUGUAUGUUUCCUUCCAACUUUUAACUUUGACUUUACAAAAAAGAUUUCCUCAGCAUCUGGAUUUAACCUCAUAUCUGAUCCAUAGAGGUUCUCACCUGCUCUGUGUUAUCUGUAAAUACUUCCUUCAGGCCUUAGAACAGAAUUCCCCUUGGCCUUUCAAAUGCAGGAUCAUAAAUGAAAAAUGACUGGAGUUAUAUUAUCUGCUUAUAUCAAGGGUCCCAUUAGGUUUUAUAUACUUCUCGUUGGCUUCAACUAAGCAUCUACCACCAGUAUGAUGAGGUGGUUUAUAUUCAACAGGUCAUUAGAUUCAAAACUCUCUUAGUACUGACUUUAUUUCUGAUUAAUUUCUGAAAUUGGUUUUCAGUUGCUUAGGGUUCUUUUGGGAGAAAAUAGGGGUGACUAUAGUUGCAAUAAGCAAAGAUCUUUAUCUACCCUAAUACUUCUUAAAUAUCCAACCUCUUCAGUGCCAUUGCUAAGAGGCCUGACAAGACAGAGAUUACUGUGUGAGGUCAGCCUCUGCAUUUCAGGAUGACUCUACGCAGAUAUUUGUCAUGGUGGAGCAGGAGGCACACCAUAGUGUUGUUAACUGAUGGAAUGUGACCCAUGUGCUGUUUACACUGGCAUCACAGUUUUGAUAGACUAUGAGGCUGGGUCUAACCAAGCAGAAAUUUUUUAUCAAUGGAUGGGUUAGCAAUCUGGAAUUCAACUAAUUACAAACAAACAGGGAAGCAAGGAUUCAGAAACAGGAGGUAAAUAGAUGUUAGGUCUGUCUGUCCUAAACUCAGUAGGUGGUAGGAGGAGGAGACCGAUAAGACCUGAGUGUAGCCAUGUUGUGAGGGAAGCUAGACUAUCAAAAUCCUUGUAUUCUGGUUGUUUUAAUUCAUAGUCAAUACUUUUAGCCAAUGAAUUAAGGAUCCUAAAUUUCAUGAUAUUCUUAACUAGGUUUGGUACAACAUGAAUAUUUGAGUAACCAAAACACACCAACUUUUGAAGUGCUGAGGCUAUUGGCUUCUGUAUAUGUUUAUACAUUUAUACACAUUAUACAGAUAUGUACAAAUAUAUAUGUGUACCCAUCCCUCUUACAGCCCUGUUGGCUGAUGGAGAAGACCAG
rnacentral:lncRNA from 1 species